GUCUCAUACUGAGCUAUCACAGUCGGUAGUGCAUGAGACUCUUAAUCUCAGGGUUGUGGGUUCGAGUUCCAUGUUGGACG